rnacentral:rRNA from 1 species
GAUGAACGCUGGCGGCGUGGCUUAACACAUGCAAGUCGAACGGAGCUUACCGAAUGAAGUUUUCGGAUGGAUUUUGGUAAGCUUAGUGGCGGACGGGUGAGUAACGCGUGGGGAACCUGCCCCAUACCGGGGGACAACAGUUGGAAACGACUGCUAAUACCGCAUAAGCGCACGGUGUGGCAUCACACAGUGUGAAAAACUCCGGUGGUAUGGGAUGGCCCCGCGUUGGAUUAGGCAGUUGGCGGGGUAACGGCCCACCAAACCGACGAUCCAUAGCCGACCUGAGAGGGUGACCGGCCACAUUGGGACUGAGACACGGCCCAA